rnacentral:lncRNA from 1 species
UGAAGUUUUCUAUGUCUUUCAGUUUCAUUUCAUGCUUUUCAUCACUCCCCUAAUAGCAUCCAUCUUCCUGACUGCUGUUGGCACAGGGCACAGGUAGCCAGAGAAAUGAGAUGCAGCCCUCUGACCUCGCACCCACUAUGCUGCCAGUCAAACUGCCUACAGUCUGAGUGGGAGGAUGCUCUUAAGGAACCCUGGAAAGGGAAAAACAGCACAGUGAGAAACUGGGUUAUGACUCUGGAAAAGAUCUGGGUUGGAUGGAUGAAGCUCUCUCACCUGGGUUCCAUGUUCCAGAAACAGAUGCGUAUUAUGUUCUAUGGACAAACUCCAUUGUUUCAGAGUCUUAGAUCUCUGCAUUUUAGACGUAUCUCCCAGUUUGUGGAGGCUACUGUGCUUGAAGAUCAGCAGAAGGAAUCUCAGUUUUAGUGACUUGGUGGUGUGCGUCUUGUGACCUUCACAGGCUGAAUGUGAGUUCUAAUACAAGAGCCAUGAGAACUGACAGACUUCCAUCAUCACCAACUUUAUUAAUAAUAAUUUUAUUCUUAUGGCUACUUGUCUUGGUCACAUUUUUCAGCAAUUCAUUUUUGUCUCAAAAUUAUAUGUGGCAUAAAAUUAAAUUUACUUUUUU